UUAAAACGCUCGUAGUUGGAUAUUUGUUGAGAACUGCCGGUCUACCCCAGUGGUCAGCACACAGUUUGUUCUCGGCACUUUCCCGGGGAGAGUGUUUGCACUUCACUGUGUGGCACAUGAUCCAGAACUUUUACUUUGAGGAAAUGAGAGUGUUUCAAGCAGGCGCCUGUCGUGAAUACGUUAGCAUGGAAUAAUAGCAUGGGACCGCGGUCUGAAGCUGUUGGUUUUUGGGCCGUGGCAAUGAAAAUAGGGAUAGUUGGGGGUAUUCGUAUUUAACUGUCAGAGGUGAAAUUCUUGGAUUUUUUAAAGACGGACUACUGCGAAAGCAUCUGCCCAGGAUGUUUUUAUUGAUCAAGAACGAAAGUUAGGGGAUCGAAGACGAUCAGAUACCGUCCUAGUCUUAACCUUAAACCAUGCCGACUAGAGAUUUGGGUCAUCAGAAUCGUGACGCCCUGAGCACCUUAGGGGAAACCAAAGUCUUCGGGUUCCGGGGGGAGUAUGGUCGCAAGGCUGAAACUUAAAGGAAUUGA
rnacentral:rRNA from 1 species